AGCCUUUAUCUCCACUCUGCGGAGAUUCACGCCUGGAAAACGCUCUUCUGAGAGGAUCUGUGGAGGUCAACCCAGGAGAGAGAAGACAGGACUGAAGCACUGAAAGGGUCCUGCCGUUAAGGGCGCAGGAUUGUAUAGAAUAUAUAAUAGCAGUAGCAGCUCUGUUUACGGAGCAUUAACCUUACGUGGAGUUAUUUCCUGCAUUUCCUCCUUUCGUCUUUACAAGGUAGCCGUUUGGCGUCGUGAGAGAUUGGGUCUCUCCACAUUGCCCCGGCUGCUCUCCAACCCCUGAGUUCAAGUGAUUCACCUCCCUUGGCCUCCCAAAGUACUGGGAUUACAGGCGUGAGCCACCGUGCCUGGCUGAGAAGAUGGAUUUAAGACAUAUUUUGGAGCGGAAAGUGACCAGAAGAGGUGUGCAGUUUCCAGGCCUGGCCCAUACAGACCUCCAACAGGUGCUCCCCUGUGCUGUUACUCCUUCUGCCAACUGGAAGCAGAUGGUGACCAGGCUCUGGAGAAGGCAAGGCCUGAAGAUGGGAGAUUCCUAAGUGGAGGAGAACUGUGCCUUACUGACCUAAAUAUCCACUCAGUAUUGUUAUGUGAGAAUAAAUAAACUUGUGUUGACCGUUUAC
rnacentral:lncRNA from 1 species